rnacentral:tRNA from 1 species
GGAGAUUUAGCUCAGUGGUUCCAGCGCCUGCCUCGCAAGUGCAAGGUCCUGAGUUCGAUCCCCGGUAACCACA